AACGAACGCUGGCGGCAUGCCUAGCACAUGCUAGUCGAACGAGACCUUCGGGUCUAGUGGCGCACGGGUGCGUAACGCGUGGGAACCUGCCCUUAGGUUCGGAAUAACUCCCCGAAAGGGGUGCUAAUACCGGAUAAUGUCUUCGGACCAAAGAUUUAUCGCCUUUGGAUGGGCCCGCGUUGGAUUAGCUAGUUGGUAGGGUAAAAGCCUACCAAGGCGACGAUCCAUAGCUGGUCUGAGAGGAUGAUCAGCCACACUGGGACUGAGACACGGCCCAGACUCCUACGGGAGGCAGCAGUGGGGAAUAUUGGACAAUGGGCGAAAGCCUGAUCCAGCAAUGCCGCGUGAGUGAUGAAGGCCUUAGGGUUGUAAAGCUCUUUUACCCGGGAUGAUAAUGACAGUACCGGGAGAAUAAGCUCCGGCUAACUCCGUG
rnacentral:rRNA from 1 species